rnacentral:rRNA from 1 species
UACGUAGGUGGCAAGCGUUGUCCGGAUUUACUGGGCGUAAAGAGCGCGCAGGCGGUCGCUCAAGUCGCGUGUGAAAGCCCCCGGCUCAACUGGGGAGGGUCACGCGAUACUGAUCGACUGGAAGGCAGGAGAGGGUAGUGGAAUUCCAGGUGUAGUGGUGAAAUGCGUAGAUAUCGGGAGGAACACCAGUGGCGAAGGCGACUACCUGGCCUGUUAUUGACGCUGAGGCGCGAAAGCGAGGGGAGCAAACGGG